GUAGCGCGGUAAUUCCAGCUCCAAUAGCGUAUACUAAAGUUGUUGCAGUUAAAAAGCUCGUAGUUGAAUUUCUGGUCGUGGCGACCGGUCCGCCCCUCACGGGGUGUGCACCUGGUCUCUACGUCCAUCCUCGGGGAGAGCGCGUCUGGCAUUUAGUUGUCGGGCGCGGGAUCCUCGUCAUUUACUGUGAGCAAAAUAGAGUGUUCAAAGCAGGCUUAGGCCGUUGAAUACAUUAGCAUGGAAUAAUAAGAUAGGACCUUGGUCUAUUUUGUUGGUUUGCAUUCCAAGGUAAUGAUUAAUAGGGAUAGUUGGGGGUAUUCGUAUUCAAUUGUCAGAGGUGAAAUUCUUGGAUUUAUGGAAGACGAACUACUGCGAAAGCAUUUACCAAGGAUGUUUUCACUGAUC
rnacentral:rRNA from 1 species